rnacentral:rRNA from 1 species
UAGGCUUAGGAGCUGGCAUCAGGCACAGAUUCCUAGCCCACAACGCCUAGUUUCACCACACCCCUAAGGGUACUCAGCAGUGAUAAAUAUUGAUCAUAAGCGUCAGCUUGACUCAGUCAAAGAAAGUGAGGGCCGGCCAAUCUGGUGCCAGCCGCCGCGGCUACACCAGCAGGCUCAAGUUGAUAGUCGCCGGCGUUAAGCGUGAUUAAAGAAAACCUUGAUUAGAGAUAAAUUUAAAUUAUAGUAGUGAUAAGCUUAUUAUUUAGAAAAACAAAAUGAAAAUUACUCUAAUACACUUGAAUACACGACAGCUAGAAAACAAACUGGGAUUAGAUACCCCACUAUGUCUCGCCGUAAACUUUAUACUUACAACAACCACGCCAGGGUCUUACGAGCUUAAGCUUAAAACCCAAAGGACUUGACGGUGUCCCACCCACCUAGAGGAGCCUGUUCUAUAAUCGACACUCCCCGCUUCACCUCACCAUUUUUAGCCUCUCAGCCUGUAUACCUCCGUCGCAAGCUUACCCUAUGAACGUAUUAGUAAGCCCAAAGGUUCACCCCCACCAGUACGUCAGGUCAAGGUGCAGCUCAUAAAAUGGAAAGUAAUGGGCUACAAUUUUUAACAUAGAAUAAACGAAAAGA